GCAAGUCGAACGUGAUGAUGCGGUUCGCCGUGUCACCAGUGGCAAACGGGUGAGUAAUGCAUAGGAAUCUACCCAGUAGUGGGGGAUAACCAUCGGAACCGGUGACUACUACCGCAUAAUCGCGGAAGGGCAAAGAUUUAUCGCUGAUGGAUGAGCCUAUGUUAGAUUAGCUUGUUGGUGGGGUAACGGCCUACCAAGGCUUAGAUCUAUAGCUGGUCUGAGAGGAUGAUC
rnacentral:rRNA from 1 species